rnacentral:lncRNA from 1 species
AUGAGAACACUCCCUCCAUUGGCUUCCUGGCCUCCCUUCCCACUUUCCCGCUCCUCCACAGGUAUUUCCAGGGACCCCUUCCCAAACAGACUACUUGUGCUGGAAUCUCUGUCUCGGUGCCUGCUUCUGGGAGAAUCUAAACUUGCCAUGAAAACCAAACGAGUAGAAACUUUCAAGAUGUUCCCUCCAGGCACGAAACCAAGGAGAAUGGCCUUGAACCAGACUUCUGGGGGGCAGGGAGGAAGAGCCCUCAAGAAGCCAUAUGGUGGAGCAACAAAGUGGACACAUGCUGUGUACCAAGCCAGGGUGUGGACACAGGCACUUUGCUCAUGUCAUCGGGGAACUGGGCAUGAGUUUCACUGAGCUGUGGUCUUAUCACUUGUAAAGCGAGGUUAAUAACACUACCCACCUUAUAAAUUGGUCCAGUGUGGAAAACAGUAUGGAGGUUCCUCAAGAAAGUAAAAUAGAAAUACCAUAGGAACCAAUAAUUACACUACUGGGUGUUUACCCAAAGAAAACAAAAACACGAACUUGAAAAGAUAUAUGCACCCUAUGUUUAUCGCAGCAUUAUUUACAGUAGCCGAGAUACGGAAGCAACCUGUGUCCACCAAUAGAUGAAUGGGUAAGGAAAAAGUUGGGUGUGUGUGCAUAUACACACGCGCACACACACGCACCCCCCUGGAGUAUUACUCAGCCAUAAAAAAGAAUGAGAUCUUGCAUAGGGAAGAUAGUCGAGGGUAUUGUAAUAGUGUCAUAUGAUGACAGGUGCCAGCUACACUUGUGAGCACAGCAUAAUGUACAGACUAUGGAAUCGCUGUGUUUUACACCUGAAACUAAUAUAACGUUGUGUCAACUAUACUUCGAUCUUUUUUAAAUGGGGGGGGGGAGUGGGCCUUACGGAUGAAAGAUGCACAAUACCACUCCCAAUGAAGGAAAUGCAAAUUUAAAGCUUUUUUUUUUUAUUUUGAGAAAGAGCAAGCGAGUGGGGGAGGGGCAGAGAGAGAGAGAGAGAGAGAGAGAGAGAGAGAGAGAGAGAGAGAAUCCCACGCAGGUUCUAAGCUGUCAGUGCGGAGCCUCACUCGGGGCUCGAACUCGUGAACCAUGAGAUCAUGCCCGGAGCCGAAAUCAAAGAGUCGGACGCUUAACCGACUGAACUGCCCAGGCGCCCCUGGAAAUACAGAUUUAAAAAAAAUCACAGUGCCCACCUGACUUAGGCUGGAUUCCCCCAGAAGGAGCCCCCGAGACAACUAUUCCAGUAUAUGGGGCUGAUUCAGGAGGUAAACGCCAGUAGAGAAGUGAAGAAGUAAGACAAGGAAGGGAAGGAAGGUGAUAAAGGGUGGGGGGCUCUCCCAGAAGCAGUUAA